AAGACCAAAGAUUGGUCUAUCAUGCAAAGCUCCUCUUCACCAACAAAUCUGGUGGCCUUCUUUGGAAAGAGGGUGUUGGCGAUGCAUUGGUGGAGGUGUCUAAUCACGGGAUUAUGGAUUGAAGAACUCUUGCUCUUGGUUGGCGAGAAGGGCUUCGGACCGGCUAUUGUAUUCCAAAGAGAUUUCAGCUCUUCUUAAUCAUAGUCUUGGCGGAUUCCUUCUCCACUUGGAAACCCAAAAAUGGAAUCAAGAUGGCGAAUAUCAAGAGUAUACUCGACAUCCCUAACUUUGAAAGUUAUGUAACCAAGACCUCCUAUCUCCUCUUUCUCCGAAUCAUCAACACAAAAAUGAACCUUGAGGGUUGCAAGGAGUUGGCAGCUCUCCUAUUUGUAUCCCCCACAUUGGCAGCUCAUGAAUGUUGCAAGAUUGGCCAAUUCCAUCAAGUAUUCCAUAUCACCACAAAUACCAAGCUCUUGCAUCGUUUCCUUAUGAGGGUAUCUAGUUCCCUCAAACUUCAACUCCUUCAAGUAUUGAUAGUACUCGCUCAGGAUUGGCUCUCUCUUCCUCCUUGGCCGGUUUCUUCUCCCAACAGGGGUUGGUGUAUCAUCCCCGAUGAUCUCAACCUCUUCCUCAGAAACCGCUUCUUCAAAGGGUGCCUCUUCAUGGUGUUGUUCUUCAGCUUCAACGACCCUCUUUCCCCGAGCUACUUCUUCUCUUUGCAUGGUUGAGCGGCUUGAGCUUCCUCCUUGAAUCGAGCUUGAUCUUUUAGCACGGCGAGCAUGGCGAAUUUGGCGUUCAGUCAUGCCACUCAUGUCAAAAGCCUCAACUUCUUCAUUAUCAGCAGAGGAUCUUCUUGCCCGAGAUGAACUCUUCCUUCUUGAAUCCAUGGAGAUUGGUGGUGAGCUUCGACAGGGCAAACAAGAACAAUUCUCCAAGAGGUAUCAAAAAAGAAAGGAAUCGGUUUCUUUGGUGAUGUAAUUUUUAGCUUGAAACCGAUUGAAUGUUUGAGGAAAGACUUAGGAGUGGUCGAGUAACUUUGGUGAAGUAUUGGUGAAGGGGAACGGAUUCUUAAAGAGUGAUAGGGAGCGUUUUGGGGAAGGGUUUGGAAUGAAGACUUCAAAGCUUUGUGAGGGGGUUGCGAAAACGAGAUGAUGAAAGAGAGAGUUUCAUGGAGGGUUUGUCGAAAUCAAUGGGUGGAGGAGAUUGGUCUUUGGUUUGCUUUGGAAGAGAUAGAAAAGUUGAUUGGAAAUGGUGAUGGGCAUGGGUAAAUGGUUUGUCCGUUGAAUAAUGAAGUGAAGGGGAACAAGUGGGACAUGCGACACCACUUCUUGGUCUCCAAAUAAUUCAAGCUCAAGUAAAGGAUCGAGCAUCUUCUUUAGUUGCGCAAAAUUUGAUCCAACGGUGGAGAGCUUCUCAUUCUUGUUUACUCGAUCAAACGGACCAAAAUAAACUUCAGGAAGUCACUCGCUCAAACGGUGGUGAUGCACCUCUCAUUUGAUCAUCCAAAUCAAUGGCUAAAAAUACUCCUCCUCAUUCUACUCGAUCAACGGUUGAGAUCUUUUUUGACUUGGUUUGAAUUUACUCGACUGUUGACUCUCUUAGGGUCACUAAAACAAACUUGAAACACUUAAAGAAAAACAUCAAAAAUAACAAGAAAAAUAGAAAAUUAUAUACAUGGAUAGACAUGGGACUUCCUCCCAAGUGAGCUUGUUUUAAGUCACUAAGCUUGACUCUUACAGAGCUUAGUCAGAAAAAAGGUUGAAGCGACGAUCAGAGAAGUCCUCAUCUUCAGUGGUUGAAUUUUCAGUGCUUGAAUCAUACUCUCCAUCCUCUCUUGAGAUAUGGUAGGAUGAGUACUCAUUUGAUUUUUCUUCAAAGUAAGCGUCUUUUUGAUCAGUAGAGUAGUCUUCUUCUUCUGAACCAGGCUCCCUUGACCAAUCCUCAAAUUCAAAACUGGGGUAGCCUUUAACCAUUUCUUGAAGUUCCAAGAUUGCAUGGUUCAGUCCUUCCAUCUUGUAAGUUAGCUCCCCAAUGGUAUCCUCUUGAGCUUUGUAUCCAACCGAGAGUUCCAGAAGUUCUUCAGCAACAGAAUCAUGAAUCAAGUGUUCUUCUUCAACAGAGGGGUUGGUGGGAUGUUUAGGCACUCCUCGAGAAUAAGUCGGAAUAGGAGUUUCCUCCUCACUCAACAACUUGCUCUCUCGGCUUCUUUCCUCUAAGUGAACUCCUUUCUGAUCUUCUGGUGCAAACCAUUUGAUAUAACCCGAUUUUCACCGAUUUUAUCUAUGUUUUAGGUAUAGGAUUUUGAGUCUUUAUGUUAUUUCUCGAAUCUUUUUAGUGUCUUUUCAGGUAUUCUAUGCAAUGGGACAACAAUGGAGAUAAGGAGACAUUUUGGAGCAAAAGCUAAAGAAAAGGAAGCGAAGGACGAUUUUGGUUCAGGAAUCAGCGAGGAGUGUCGACCGACACACUCUUGCUGUCGAUCGACACCAGUUUUGGCCCAACAAGAACCCUAGACGCUUUCGAGUUUACAGAAGCUCAAGUUUGCCCCAAAAGAUUUUCCUAUUUGCAUUAUUAGUCUAUGGACGUUUUUAGGGUCUAUAUAUAUUGUUUUUAGACCUAAGUUUCUUUUAUCAAGUCUUUUAUCAAGUUCUUUGCAAACCCUAUUGUAAGAGACAUAAGUUAUUCAUCCAUUGUUUUUCAGAGUUUCAUUCAGAUCUAUAUACAGUGAAGAGAUCCUUUCUUUCUCCUUCUCUAUUUACUGUGUUUAUGCUUUCACCCUCAAAUAUGUUGUUUGUUUCAUCCAAUAUGUCUGAGUAAUCUGCUUGUUAGGAAUAGGGUUUCUCAUUAGGGAUUCAUAUGGUUUAGUAGAUUGCCCCCUUUGCUAGGUUAUCUGUAGAAUUCUUCAUCUUUAAUUAUGCCUAAUGCUAGAUCUAGAGUAAUUAA
rnacentral:sRNA from 1 species